GAGUUAACACAGCUCUUUAAGCAUCUUUCUAGCAGGUUUUUUGACUUUGGUAGAAAAACCCAG
ensembl:snRNA LOC120094878 U7 small nuclear RNA